rnacentral:rRNA from 1 species
AAUAGAUACCCCGGUAGUCCACGCCGUAAACGAUGAUCACUCGCUGUUGGCGAUAUACAGUCAGUGGCUAAGCAAAAGCAUUAAGUGAUCCACCUGGGGAGUACGGCCGCAAGGCUGAAACUCAAAGGAAUUGACGGGGGCCCGCACAAGCGGAGGAACAUGUGGUUUAAUUCGAUGAUACGCGAGGAACCUUACCUGGGCUUAAAUGCAGAGUGCAUUCUCGGGAAACCGGGAUUUUCUUCGGAACUUUCUGCAAGGUGCUGCAUGGUUGUCGUCAGCUCGUGCCGUGAGGUGUCGGGUUAAGUCCCAUAACGAGCGCAACCCUUAUCGUUAGUUGCCAGCGGGUCAAGCCGGGAACUCUAGCGAAACUGCCGGUGUAAACCGAGAGGAAGGUGGGGAUGACGUCAAAUCAGCACGGCCCUUAUGUCCAGGGCUACACACGUGUUACAAUGGCCGGUACAGAGGGCAGCUAUGCUGUGAGGCAGUGCGAAUCUCGAAAGCCGGUCUCAGUUCGGAUCGGAGU